GGGUCAGUAGGUUGGUCGUGCCACCGGUACGUACUGGUCUCACUGAUCCCUCCUUCCUGAAGAACCGUAAUGCCAUUAAUUUGGUGUUGCGGGGAAACAGGACUGUUACUUUGAAAAAAUUAGAGUGUUUAAAGCAAGCUAACGCUUGAAUACAUUAGCAUGGAAUAAUGAAAUAGGACAAUCGAUCCUAUUUUGUUGGUUUCUAGGAUUGACGUA
rnacentral:rRNA from 1 species